CCUACGGGGGGCUGCAGUCGAGAAUCUUUCACAAUGGGGGCAACCCUGAUGGAGCGACGCCGCGUGGAGGAUAAGGUCUUCGGAUUGUAAACUCCUGUCAUGCGAGAACAAGGUUGCAGGGCUAACACCUUUGCAAAUUGAUGGUACCGCAAGAGGAAGAGACGGCUAACUCUGUGCCAGCAGCCGCGGUAAUACAGAGGUGUCAAGCGUUGUUCGGAAUGGUGGGGCGUAAACGGUGUAUGGGAGACGUGAAAGCCCGGGGCUCAACCGCGGAAUUGCAUCCGAUACUGCCAUGCUGGAGUACUGAAGAGGUGACUAGAAUUCUAGGUGUAGCAGUGAAAUGCGUAGAUAUCUAGAGGAAUACCAACGGCGAAGGCAGGUCACUGGGCAGUUACUGACACUGAGGCACGAAGGCCAGGGGAGCAAACGGGAUUAGAUACCCCUGUAGUC
rnacentral:rRNA from 1 species